AGAGUUUGAUCAUGGCUCAGAUUGAACGCUGGCGGCAGGCUUAACACAUGCAAGUCGAGCGGGGAAAGGUAGCUUGCUACCUAACUUAGCGGCGGACGGGUGAGUAAUACUUAGGAAUCUGCCUAUUAGUGGGGGACAACAUUUCGAAAGGAAUGCUAAUACCGCAUACGCCCUACGGGGGAAAGCAGGGGAUCUUCGGACCUUGCGCUAAUAGAUGAGCCUAAGUCAGAUUAGCUAGUUGGUGGGGUAAAGGCCUACCAAGGCGACGAUCUGUAACGGGUCUGAGAGGAUGAUCCGUCACACUGGGACUGAGACACGGCCCAGACUCCUACGGGAGGCAGCAGUGGGGAAUAUUGGACAAUGGGGGGAACCCUGAUCCAGCCAUGCCGCGUGUGUGAAGAAGGCCUUUUGGUUGUAAAGCACUUUAAGCGAGGAGGAGGCUCCCUAGACUAAUACUCUAGGAGAGUGGACGUUACUCGCAGAAUAAGCACCGGCUAACUCUGUGCCAGCAGCCGCGGUAAUACAGAGGGUGCAAGCGUUAAUCGGAUUUACUGGGCGUAAAGCGUGCGUAGGUGGUCUUUUAAGUCGGAUGUGAAAUCCCUGAGCUUAACUUAGGAAUUGCAUUCGAUACUGGGAGACUAGAGUAUGGGAGAGGAUGGUAGAAUUCCAGGUGUAGCGGUGAAAUGCGUAGAGAUCUGGAGGAAUACCGAUGGCGAAGGCAGCCAUC
rnacentral:rRNA from 1 species